AGAGUUUGAUCAUGGCUCAGGAUGAACGCUAGCGAUAGGCUUAACACAUGCAAGUCGAGGGGCAGCAUGAUCUUAGCUUGCUAAGGUUGAUGGCGACCGGCGCACGGGUGCGUAACGCGUAUGCAACUUGCCUUACAGAGGGGGAUAACCCGUUGAAAGACGGACUAAAACCGCAUACACUUGUAUUAUUGCAUGAUAUUACAAGGAAAUAUUUAUAGCUGUAAGAUAGGCAUGCGUCCCAUUAGCUGGUUGGUGAGGUAACGGCUCACCAAGGCGACGAUGGGUAGGGGAACUGAGAGGUUUAUCCCCCACACUGGUACUGAGACACGGACCAGACUCCUACGGGAGGCAGCAGUGAGGAAUAUUGGUCAAUGGGCGAGAGCCUGAACCAGCCAAGUCGCGUGAAGGAAGACAGUCCUAAGGAUUGUAAACUUCUUUUAUACGGGAAUAACGGGCGAUACGAGUAUUGCAUUGAAUGUACCGUAAGAAUAAGCAUCGGCUAACUCCGUGCCAGCAGCCGCGGUAAUACGGAGGAUGCGAGCGUUAUCCGGAUUUAUUGGGUUUAAAGGGUGCGUAGGUUGUUCGGUAAGUCAGCGGUGAAACCUGAGCGCUCAACGUUCAGCCUGCCGUUGAAACUGCCGGGCUUGAGUUCAGUGGCGGCAGGCGGAAUUCGUGGUGUAGCGGUGAAAUGCAUAGAUAUCACGAGGAACUCCGAUUGCGAAAGCAGCUUGCCAUACUGCGACUGACACUGAAGCACGAAAGCGUGGGUAUCAAACAGGAUUAGAUACCCUGGUAGUCCACGCAGUAAACGAUGAUUACUAGGAGUUUGCGAUAUACCGUCAAGCUUCCACAGCGAAAGCGUUAAGUAAUCCACCUGGGGAGUACGCCGGCAACGGUGAAACUCAAAGGAAUUGACGGGGGCCCGCACAAGCGGAGGAACAUGUGGUUUAAUUCGAUGAUACGCGAGGAACCUUACCCGGGAUUGAAAUGUAGAUGACGGAUGGUGAAAACCGUCUUCCCUUCGGGGCUUCUAUGUAGGUGCUGCAUGGUUG
rnacentral:rRNA from 1 species